ACCUUGGUGUACUUAAUUUCGAGAUUGGGCGUGGGCGACGGCAGGAGGUGCAGCGACGCCAUGAGGGCGGCGGGGUCGGCCUUCACCUCGCCGGGCAUCUCUAUCUUGCUGGAAGUCAUGGUUUCCUUAUGAAAACAAUUUAUUAGGCCUGGUGGAGCCAAUAUCCUGGAGUUGCAGAGGAGAAAAAUAAAUUCUUGCCUCAUAUUUCCUCACCUA
rnacentral:lncRNA from 1 species